rnacentral:rRNA from 1 species
AACGAACGCUGGCGGCAGGCUUAACACAAUGCAAGUCGAAACGCAUCCUUCGGGAUGGAGUGGCAGACGGGUGAGUAACGCGUGGGAACGUGCCCUUCAGUUCGGAAUAACCCAGGGAAACUUGGGCUAAUACCGGAUACGUGCGAGAGCAGAAAGAUUGAUCGCUGAAGGAGCGGCCCGCGCCUGAUUAGCUAGUUGGUGGGGUAAUGGCCUACCAAGGCAACGAUCAGUAUCCGGCCUGAGAGGGCGGACGGACACACUGGGACUGAGACACGGCCCAGACUCCUACGGGAGGCAGCAGUGGGGAAUUGUUCGCAAUGGGCGCAAGCCUGACGACGCAACGCCGCGUGGAGGACGAAGACCU